rnacentral:sRNA from 1 species
UUGUUUAUGUAUUAGGGCACUGCACUCACAUUGAAACUGGAUUGACCUACAAGGAAGGAGAAAGAUGGACAGUGGACUGCAAGUACAACUGUCUCUGUGUGAAUGCCUCUGCUGGAAGCUACAUCUGUACCAACAUGUGUGUUGAUCUCCAAUGCCCGAUUGGUGCUAACUGCACUCAGUAUCCAGACCCUGAUUUCCCUUGCUGUAACUUACUCCAGAUCAACUUACCUUCAAACAUAG